AGAGUUUGAUCCUGGCUCAGGAUGAACGCUGGCGGCGUGCUUAACACAUGCAAGUCGAACGAACCUUCGGGUUAGUGGCGGACGGGUGAGUAACGCGUGAGAAUCUGCCCUCAGGAGGGGGAUAACAGUUGGAAACGACUGCUAAUACCCCAUAUGCCGAGAGGUGAAAUGAAUUUCGCCUGGGGAUGAGCUCGCGUCUGAUUAGCUUGUUGGUGGGGUAAUAGCCUACCAAGGCUUCGACCAGUAGCUGGUCUGAGAGGACGAUCAGCCACACUGGGACUGAGACACGGCCCAGACUCCUACGGGAGGCAGCAGUGGGGAAUUUUCCGCAAUGGGCGAAAGCCUGACGGAGCAACGCCGCGUGAGGGAUGGAGGCCUUUGGGCUGUAAACCUCUUUUCUCAAGGAAGAAGAUCUGACGGUACUUGAGGAAUAAGCCACGGCUAAUUCCGUGCCAGCAGCCGCGGUAAUACGGGAGUGGCAAGCGUUAUCCGGAAUUAUUGGGCGUAAAGCGUCCGCAGGCGGCCGUUUAAGUCUGUUGUUAAAUCGUGGAGCUCAACUCCAUCACGGCAAUGGAAACUGUUCGGCUUGAGUAUGGUAGGGGCAGAGGGAAUUUCCGGUGUAGCGGUGAAAUGCGUAGAUAUCGGGAAGAACACCAGUGGCGAAAGCGCUCUGCUGGGCCAUUACUGACGCUCAUGGACGAAAGCCAGGGGAGCGAAAGGGAUUAGAUACCCCUGUAGUCCUGGCCGUAAACGAUGAACACUAGAUGUUGGGGGAAUCGACCCCCUCGGUGUCGUAGCUAACGCGUUAAGUGUUCCGCCUGGGGAGUACGCACGCAAGUGUGAAACUCAAAGGAAUUGACGGGGGCCCGCACAAGCGGUGGAGUAUGUGGUUUAAUUCGAUGCAACGCGAAGAACCUUACCAAGGCUUGACAUCCUGCGAAUCUCUAAGAAAUUAGAGAGUGCCUUCGGGAACGCAGUGACAGGUGGUGCAUGGCUGUCGUCAGCUCGUGUCGUGAGAUGUUGGGUUAAGUCCCGCAACGAGCGCAACCCACGUUUUUAGUUGCCAGCAUUCAGUUGGGCACUCUAGAAAGACUGCCGGUGACAAACCGGAGGAAGGUGUGGACGACGUCAAGUCAUCAUGCCCCUUACGCCUUGGGCUACACACGUACUACAAUGCUGCGGACAAAGAGUAGCGAUCUUGCGAAAGUUAGCUAAUCUCAUAAACCGUGGCUCAGUUCAGAUCGUAGGCUGCAACUCGCCUACGUGAAGGAGGAAUCGCUAGUAAUCGCAGGUCAGCAUAUUGCGGUGAAUACGUUCCCGGGCCUUGUACACACCGCCCGUCACACCAUGGAAGUUGGCCAUGCCCGAAGUCGUUACUCUAACCUUUUGGAAGAGGGCGCCGAAGGCAGGGCUAAUGACUGGGGUGAAGUCGUAACAAGGUAACC
rnacentral:rRNA from 1 species